rnacentral:piRNA from 1 species
CAGUGACUUUGUGCGUGCGU